CCCGGGGGGGGAGGGAAAGAGUACCUGAAACCGGGCGCCUGCGAGCCGUCAGAGCCUCGCCUCCUCUUUUUUGGGGUGUUGGUGGGGUGGUGGCGUGCCUAUUGAAGAAUGAGCCUGCGAGUCGUGCUGUGUGGCGAGGUUAACCUGUGUGUGGGGUAGCCGUAGCGAGAGCGAGUCCUAAGUGGGCGUGUGAGUCGUGUGGUGCGGACCCGAAGCGGGGUGAUCUACCCAUGGCCAGGUUGAGGCGCGUGUAAGAGCGUGUGGAGGACCGUACCCGCCUGGGUUGAAAACCGGGGGGAUGAGCUGUGGGUAGGGGUGAAAGGCCAAUCAGACUCCGUGAUAGCUGGUUCUCCCCGAAAUGCAUUUUGGUGCAGCGUUGCGUGUGUCGCCCGGCGGAGGUAGAGCGACUGGUUGGCUGCGGGGCCUGACAGGGUUACUUAGGUCAGCCAAACUCCGAAUGCCGUGCGGGUGUGGCGUGGCAGUGAGACCGCGGGGGAUAAGCUUCGUGGUCGAGAGGGAAACAGCCCGGAUCGCCGGCUAAGGCCCCUAAGCGUGCGCUAAGUGGGAAAGGAUGUGCGGUCGCGUAGACAGCCAGGAGGUUGGCUCAGAAGCAGCCAUCCUUGAAAGAGUGCGUAAUAGCUCACUGGUCAAGUGGUCGUGCGCCGACAAUUGAGCGGGGCUCAAGCGCGCCGCCGAAGCCGCGGAUCCGCCGCGAUAGGGCCCGGCCGCCCCCUGUGGGGGGGUGGUGGGGCGCGGCGGGUGGUAGGGGAGCGUCCCGCGCCGGGUGAAGCCGCCGGGUGACCGGGGGUGGACGGCGCGGGAGUGAGAAUGCAGGCAUGAGUAGCGAUACUGGGGUGGGAGUCCCCAGCGCCGUAUGACCAAGGGUUCCAGGGCCAGGCUGGUCCGCCCUGGGUGAGUCGGGACCUAAGGCGAGGCCGACGGGCGUAGUCGAUGGAUGACGGGUUGAUAUUCCCGUACCGGACCGGAUACCGACCGUGCCGACGCGCGGGUGCUGACCCACGCCCCGCGCCGCCCGUGUACGCCCCCGCGUCCCGGUCUUCGGGCCGGGCGGGGGCGGGGCGGCGGGGGUCUGGGGACCCUCCGCGCAGGUAGGCAAGCGUAUUAACAGGGGUGACGCGCAGUGGUGGCCCCGCGGGCCUGAUGGCUCGGCCCGUUCAAGCGCGCGGCCCGCCGCCCAGGCAAAUCCGGGCGGCUGCCUUCGAUGGCGGGGGUGAGGCGCGAUGGUGACCCGGCCCGAUGGGGCCGGGGAAGUAGGGUGAUCCUGUGGCGCCGAGAAAAGCCUCGACGCGAGGGGCCGGUCCGCCCGUACCCCAAACCGACACAGGUGGUCGGGCAGAGCAUGCCCAGGCGCACGGGCGAACCGUGGUGAAGGAACUCGGCAAAACGCCCCCGUAACUUCGGGAGAAGGGGGGCCCGAACCCUGAGGCCCCGAGCGGGCUGGGGGUGAGGGUCGCAGAGGCCAGGGGGGAGCGACUGUUUACUAAAAACACAGGUCCGUGCGAAGCCGCAAGGCGAUGUAUACGGACUGACGCCUGCCCGGUGCUGGAAGGUCAAGAGGACCCGUCAGCCCCCCUUGCGGGGGUGAAGCGGUGAAUUCAAGCCCCAGUGAACGGCGGUGGUAACUAUAACCAUCCUAAGGUAGCGAAAUUCCUUGUCGGGUAAG
rnacentral:rRNA from 1 species